ACGUUGAGUGAAAAAGGAAAGUGAUAUAAUCUCCGUAGGAGCUUGUGCACACACAAGGGCAAAAAGGUGAGCAUGAAACUAUGUAGAGGGCACGGCUAGCUGUGGAGCUCUUAUGGGAUUCCAAAGAUCAAUGUACAUGGAUGACGACCUAUAGGGUGAUUUUGUGGGCUAUUGUUUUGAGCUUACACUCUAUUGUGUUGUAUUUUGGGGGUCCAGUCUUGUAUAACUUUUGAAAUGGCCUAUAGAUGUGUUUAUAACCUUAGAACAUACGUGUUGUAUUAAGGUUAUAUGAUCAUUGAUUUUGAUAUAAUAUAUGAUCAUCACAGGUGAUUUGAAGUUAACAAAUAGGGACAUAAUUGUGCAAAUGCUCGUUUCAUUUUAUUAAAAAAAGUAUAUCUAAAUUUUA